AAAUUACAAAACAUAUGAUUAGAUAUAGGUGUCGGCUAAACAUAGAGUUAAAUCUUUAACAAAUCGCAAUACAUAUGAUUAAAACGGUUGUUUAGCCAGAUAUACAUACAAAGAUCCCUUGAGAAAUAAAACAAAAAAAAUGGUGUGCAAGUGAUCAGCGGAGGAGGAGUCGGGUGGGGAGAUGAUCCUUUCUUCUUGGCUUUGUUAUUCAACCUGCAAAAAUCAUGACCAUGAAAGAAAACAAAAUUAAAACAGAAAAUGAUACAAAUAUUAUAUAAACUGCACAUACACAGACACAGACCUAUACAUACAUAGAUACAUAUAUGUAUGUAUAGUUAUUUAGACAAGACCCAAUGAAACUAGAGGAAGAGACAAAGAAAGAGAAGAAACAAAAACACAGAAGAUUUACUCGUGUGCUACUCCAUUAAUACAAAUGAUUGAAGCUUUAAAGUGGAGACUGAGAGUACCCAUAAGACAAAACCGGAGGAAGCUUUAAGCUUUUGUCUUUAUCUGAAACCGGAAAAUGAGAUCCCAGAGCAAGAAAAAACGGAUGAGCCCAAACAUAUAGCUACAAAGCUUCUUUUUUUUUUUGCAAAGAUGGAAACAAAAAUCAAAGUUUUUAUUUUUGCUGUGAAUUUGUAGAGACUAAAGAGAGAGGCGAAGUGAACAAAGGGAAGGAAUAAACAUCGAAAAGAGCCUU
rnacentral:lncRNA from 1 species